GACGAGGGAUCCUAGCGUUGUUCGGAAUCAUUGGGCGUAAAGCGGAUGUAGGUGGCUUUGUAAGUCGGGUGUGAAAGCCCAGGGCUCAACCCUGGAAGUGCAUUCGAUACUGCGAAGCUUGAAUGUCGGAGAGGUUAUUAGAAUACCUGGUGUAGUGGUGAAAUACGUAGAUAUCAGGUGGAAUACCGGAGGCGAAGGCGGAUAACCAGCCGAACAUUGACACUCAGAUCCGAAAGUGUGGGGAUCAAACAGG
rnacentral:rRNA from 2 species